CAGGCGAUUUGGGCGUCUACUCGUCAUCCUGAGGGACACAUUUCAUCCCUGAGAACUCCCAUGGCUAUCAACAAUGGAAGGAGUGGUUCAGCAAGAAGUUGCUUCUCAAAGUGGAUGCUGUCCCUACCAACAAUGUGGCUGCUAAAGCAUAUGAAACAGCCAGCAGCACCAGCAGAGACCAAGCAUUAUCAUGGGCUUCAGUGAACAUGGAGGUCAUCCGGAGGUGAUGACCCCUCCACUCCACCAUUGUCAACUCUCUCCUGACAUGAACUGAAGCCACGUCUCGUACUCGCUCGUCCACUGGCACAUUGAAUGUUUUCUCUCCAAGCACUUCAAAUCCUGUCCUGCCCCCAGUGAAAGAGUUAUGCUCUUCUCUAACACCAUCCAUCCAUCCAUGAUGAGCCUGGCCUGCAUGUUCGAUUCCAGACUGAAUCACAACCGGCAGUGAUUGGAGUACCAUAGGGUGGCGCACAUUUGGCCCAGCGUCAUCCGGGUUUG